GGCGAGCCGCCGCGGUAACACCGGCGGCCCGAGUGGUGAUCGUGAUUAUUGGGUCUAAAGGGUCCGUAGCCGGUUUGGUCAGUCCUCCGGGAAAUCUGAUAGCUCAACUAUUAGGCUUUCGGGGGAUACUGCCAGACUUGGAACCGGGAGAGGUAAGAGGUACUACAGGGGUAGGAGUGAAAUCUUGUAAUCCCUGUGGGACCACCUGUGGCGAAGGCGUCUUACCAGAACGGGUUCGACGGUGAGGGACGAAAGCUGGGGGCACGAACCGGAUUAGAUACCCGGGUAGUCCCAGCCGUAAACGAUGCUCGCUAGGUGUCAGGCAUGGCGCGACCGUGUCUGGUGCCGCAGGGAAGCCGUGAAGCGAGCCACCUGGGAAGUACGGCCGCAAGGCUGAAACUUAAAGGAAUUGGCGGGGGAGCACAACAACGGGUGGAAGCCUGCGGUUUAAUUGGACUCAACGCCGGACAACUCACCGGGGGCGACAGCAAUAUGUAGGCCAAGCUGAAGACUUUGCCUGAAUCGCUGAGAAGAGGUGCAUGG
rnacentral:rRNA from 1 species